GCACAAGGGAUGGGCAAGGGGCACAGCAUGUUAGCAGGGAUGGCAGCCCAAAUGUGCCAGUCACACAAGCUAUCUGAUCUCAUCUGAAAGAAGGGAGACAGAUGGCUGACAACAGGCUUUAUCUGAAGAGGGCUGUGCUAUGAUCACAGAGGAUGGUGUAUGUGCUUCAGCACCCUAGCUCAUCUUCUCUUGUGGAGUACCCGUGUUUUUGCUGCAGUGUAAUUCUAUACCUAUCUGUGUGGACGCAUUCUGUAAAGAUCCGAAGGAAGUAGUAAAAGUUGAAAUACAGCAAGGGAGGUAAGAGGUCAGAAUGCUGUCCAUGUUUGCCAACGUGGAGCCACCAGAAAUUAACCAAAUGUCUUCUUUGGGAAUGUGAAAUAACUUUAUAUAGAGGAAAAAAAAAAAGAAAGAAAGAAAAAAAAAGCUGUGUUGAAUCUCAUUUAUUUUGGACUACAAGAAGGUGAUAUCACAUGGGAAAUUACUACCGAAGGCUGGAGAAGACAGGGAUUAGGAAUAAAAUUACAGAGAAGGAGUGCACGGAUGAAAUUAGCUGAUGAAACAAAACUGAGGCGCUUUCAAGACAAAACAGAUAUCAUGAAGGAAACAUUGGGUGACCUCGAGAAUAAUAGAAGCAGCAGGAAAUUAGACAGAGCAAAGUAAAAGGUUCCAUUCUUGGGAUUAACAUGAGAAUUUCUGCUAUGUGCCGGAAUAAAUAAAUUCAUAAAUUGGAAAUGACGGAAGGGAAAAAGAACUAAGGUAUUAGUCAUCCUGUGAUCAGCUAGUACAACUGUGAGCCACCUCUGGGAUGCAGGUGAGAAACAAGCAAAUGCAUUUUUAGGAUGAGCAGGAUUUCUGAGCCAGACAGGGAAUUUUUAAUGACUUUGUAUGAAGCUUUUCUAAGGCCUUAUCUGGAACAUCGUCUUUGGUGCCAGGGCACUCUCUGGCUACAUGAGCUCCAGCAGGAAUGUAUGCUGAAGAAGGCUAUAGGGAUGU